GGGCGCAAGCCUGAUCCAGCAAUGCCGCGUGCAGGAUGAAGGCCUUCGGGUUGUAAACUGCUUUUGUACGGAACGAAAAGCCCUGGGUUAAUACCCUGGGGUCAUGACGGUACCGUAAGAAUAAGCACCGGCUAACUACGUGCCAGCAGCCGCGGUAAUACGUAGGGUGCGAGCGUUAAUCGGAAUUACUGGGCGUAAAGCGUGCGCAGGCGGUUUUGUAAGACAGAGGUGAAAUCCCCGGGCUCAACCUGGGAACUGCCUUUGUGACUGCAAGGCUAGAGUACGGCAGAGGGGGAUGGAAUUCCGCGUGUAGCAGUGAAAUGCGUAGAUAUGCGGAGGAACACCGAUGGCGAAGGCAAUCCCCUGGGCCUGUACUGACGCUCAUGCACGAAAGCGUGGGGAGCAAACAGGAUUAGAUACCCUGGUAGUCCACGCCCUAAACGAUGUCAACUGGUUGUUGGGUCUUAACUGACUCAGUAACGAAGCUAACGCGUGAAGUUGACCGCCUG
rnacentral:rRNA from 1 species